CCUACGGGAGGCAGCAGUGAGGAAUAUUGGUCAAUGGGCGAGAGCCUGAACCAGCCAAGUCGCGUGAGGGAAGACGGUCCUAUGGAUUGUAAACCUCUUUUGCCGGGGAGCAAAAAGCGGUACGUGUACCGCAUCGAGAGUACCCGGAGAAAAAGCAUCGGCUAACUCCGUGCCAGCAGCCGCGGUAAUACGGAGGAUGCGAGCGUUAUCCGGAUUUAUUGGGUUUAAAGGGUGUGCAGGCGGCGAGUUAAGUCAGCGGUAAAAUUUCGGGGCUCAACCCCGACAAGCCGUUGAAACUGGCUGGCUAGGGGGGGCGAGAAGUAGGCGGAAUGCGGGGGGUAGGGGGGAAAUGCA
rnacentral:rRNA from 1 species